rnacentral:misc_RNA from 1 species
AAAGUCGUAACAAGGUUUCCGUAGGUGAACCUGCGGAAGGAUCAUUAACAAAUUUUCCCAACCAAACACGUUUGUGAACUGUUAUCAAGUCCAUGGUGUGCCCCGUCCUGGACGGCAUUGUCUACAAUGCAGGCGUGCAUCCAGGCGGACCAUCAUGUUUAUUUACGUUUGACUUACAAAGAACUGAGACUUUAUUUAAAAUAAAGACAACUUUUAGCAACGGAUCUCUAGGCUCUC